GCGAUGUUGGCUUGGAGGGUGAGGACAGACCGACAACUAGCACCAGAUUUCUGGGGAAGGGCCAAAAGAAGACUGCUGUAUCAAGAGAAGGCACUGAAAAUGAUGCCGCAGAAAUAGAAGUCAUAAAACAAGGUAAGAGACCCUGGACUGACCCGGAGAGGACUGCAGUCGAGCAAUAUCUUGCUAAGUUCAUUGCACUGAAGAAGGUUCCAGGAAAGGAGGUCUGCCUUAUGUGCAUUAGCAAGGGGUCUCCAGUUCUCAGUAAGCAAACGUGGAAACACGCGACAUUUUUUGUAUACAACAAAAUUGUUAAAAUCAAGAGAGAACUUGCAUUUUAAAUCACUAAAGCACACCAGAGGAAACAAUAAGAGGGUAUUUUUUUUCAUUUCAUGUUUCAUAGGCGUUGUUGUUGUUCUGAAGAUGCCAUCAAUAUUUUGAUAUGAAGUAGGAGUGGAAUGGCUCAGAUG